rnacentral:rRNA from 1 species
UACGGGGGGGGCAAGCGUUGUUCGGAAUUACUGGGCGUAAAGGGCUCGUAGGUGGCCGACUAAGUCGGACGUGAAAUCCCUCAGCUUAACUGGGGAACUGCGUCUGAUACUGGCGAGCUUGAGUGCAGGAGAGGAACGCGGAAUUCCAGGUGUAGCGGUGAAAUGCGUAGAUAUCUGGAGGAACACCGGUGGCGAAGGCGGCGUUCUGGACUGCAACUGACACUGAGAAACGAAAGCCAGGGUAGCAAACGGG